UAUCUGAUCGAGCAGCAGAAGCAUCCCUCAUAUCGUUGUCUUCUCCUUGAGCACGUGAUGCGCCCCUCCUCCACCUGCUCCCUUUCCCCCCUCUCUCUCAGCCACCAAGCCCCAGCAAACCCUAGCCUCCUCCAUCUGCCGCCGCCACAUCUUCCCGGAGUCCGUGUCGUCAUCAUGAUCGUCCUCGAGCCAAGCUGAGGGUACCAGACGUUGUGCCACAUCAUUGCGCACCUCCUCGACAAGGAAUCCGGGCCGGAGCUGCUUGGGAGCUUCUUCACGGACCACGCCGCCGCCGCGCGCUCGCCGUGGUUACCGCCGUCUUCUUCUUCCUCUUCCGGCGCCAUCGACCGUCCCCGAGUCGAGCCCCUGCGCCACCAACCCCUCGGCGAGAACAAUCAACAUUGGACAUCUGGCCGGCACCAUCGAGCUGCACCCCGAACUAAUGUUGUUGGAGCUGCAGCUACUGUAGUUGCACAUGGGGUUUUAGUGGAUAUGCAACCUAGUUUGUUUUCCAAAUAUUUCUGUUUGUUGCAUGAAACUUGGGUUUUCCUGUCUAUCAAAGUUGAUGUAGGUUUGCUAUAUUUUUGUAUGCUCAUGGGACAUCUGAAUCUAACUUUGUUGUCGUAGGGAUUGUUGUUCUUGAUUUCAAGGACCUAAGGCUUUUUCUUUGUUA